CUCCCUCCCUCUCUCUCUCUCUCUCUCUAUAUUACAGCUCUCGUGUCCUCUACCAGCUGGAGCAGGAUCUGUAGUCGACGAAAGAUCUCUAGAUAUUGAAAUUUGAAUUCUGCGAUGCGGGAUCCGUGUUAGCAAUACCAUUCUUUGAUCUAUCGGUCGUUAAAUUAUCAUUUUUUAUUUAUUGUGAAACGAUUGCUUUCUUUUCUGUAAUCGAAUUCGAUCUUGAGAGCUGAACAUCGAUAUGUCGGGAACGUUGGAUCGCUUCGCGAGGCCUUGCUUUGAGGGCUUUUCCGGCCAUGAUGAAAGGAGAGAACGGAAAUCAGAUUUUGAAAACUCAGAGGAUGACAGGAAGACUAGAAUUGGGAAUCUAAAGAGGAAAGCAAUGAAGGCAUCUAAAAAGAUCAGACGUUCUCUCCAUAAGAGGAAGAGUAAAAGUAGCGGGGAAGGGAUUACUGCCGCAAUUGAGGAUGUUCGGGAUGUUGAAGAGCUGCGGGCUGUAGAUGCAUUUAGACAGGCGCUCAUUGCGGAUGAUUUGCUUCCUUCUAGACAUGAUGAUUAUCACAUGUUGCUGAGGUUCUUAAAGGCAAGAAAGUUUGACAUUGAAAAAGCAAAGCAAAUGUGGGCCAAUAUGAUUCAGUGGAGGAAAGACUUCGGCACUGACACAAUUAUGGAGGAUUUUGAGUUCGAUGAGCUGAAUGAAGUUCUAAAGAACUACCCUCAGGGUUAUCAUGGUGUAGAUAAAGAGGGUAGGCCCAUCUACAUUGAAAGACUAGGGAAAGUUGAUACCAACAAACUUAUGCAAGUGACCACUAUGGAACGAUAUUUGAAAUAUCAUGUGCAGGAGUUUGAAAAGAGUUUUGCAAUAAAGUUUCCAGCUUGCUCUAUUGCUGCAAAGAGGCAUAUAGAUUCAAGUACAACUAUUUUGGAUGUGCAAGGCGUGGGUUUGAAAAACUUUACCAAGUCGGCUCGAGAGCUCAUCAUAAGGCUGCAAACGAUUGAUGGUGACAACUACCCUGAGACACUUUACCGAAUGUUCAUAAUUAAUGCUGGUCCUGGUUUUAAGUUGCUCUGGAACACAGUGAAAUCGUUUCUUGAUUCUCAAACAGCUAGCAAGAUUCAUGUUCUUGGCAACAAGUACCAGAGCAAAUUGCUUGAGAUAAUAGAUGGAAGUGAGUUGCCUGAAUUUCUGGGUGGUAGCUGUACUUGUGCUGAUCAGGGAGGUUGUAUGAGAUCUGACAAGGGUCCAUGGAAAGAUCCAAACAUUCUGAAGAUGGUUGAGAAUGGUGAAGCACUAUAUUCCAGAGAAAUAGUAACAAUUUCAAACAGUGAAGGAAGGGUGAUUGCUUCUGAUAAGCUAUGUUAUCCGAUGAUGAAAACUAGUGAUACAUCUACUGCAGAGUCAGGAUCUGAGGUAGAAGAUGUUGCAUCUCCUAAAACAACUAGGAGCUAUUUGCUUCCAAGAUUGACUCCUGUCUGUGAAGAAGCUAGGGUGAUUGGUAGGGCAAGUGCUGCUGGAGGCUUCUCAGAAUAUGAUGAAUAUGUACCCAUGAUUGACAAGAAUGUAGAUAGUGGAUGGAAGAAACAAGUAUCCUUUCAAGAGCCACAUAUGUCCAAAGGAACACUGCCUCUACCAAGUGUGGGAAAAACUCCAGAAGGAAUAUUUGCUCGUAGUUGGGCUCUGCUUGUGGCAUUCUUCAUGGCCUUCCUUUCUUUCAUCCAUUUACUGCCAAUUUGGGUGACUAAGAAAAACCCUGUGCCUAAUUCUGUCUUUGAUGCUACUGAUCCAACUCUUGAACUGGUGCUCAAGGAGAAGUUCCGGCCCCCUUCUCCUGCUCCAAGAUUUACUCAGGCAGACCUGCUCUCAUCUGUGUUGAAAAGGCUGGGUGCACUUGAAGAGAAGGUUGACAUGCUACAAGUGAAGCCUUUUCAGAUGCCUUAUGAGAAAGAGGAGUUACUGAAUGCUGCUGUUUGUCGAGUGGAUGCUCUAGAAGCUGAGCUAAUUUCUACAAAAAAGGCAUUGCAUGAGGCUUUAAUCAGACAAGAAGAGCUUCUUGCGUAUAUAGAUAGACAAGAGGAAGCCAGAUUUCGGAAAAAGAAGUUUUGCUGGUGAAGAAGAGUUUUGUGUACAGGAGGAAACAUGUCCAACUGCAUUCAUGUCCUUAGCUCGCCUUCUGGAGAAGCGCUGGUUGGCUGUGCUGUGGAACCUGUGGAACGAUAGGAAUCGUCUGUUGUAGCAAGGACAGGGCCGAACCCCUCAUGGAAUCAUCUCUUCGGCUCUCAACUUCUUGAAUGAAUGGAAAUCUGUGAAGGAGAAUACCAUGCAACCGACGCACAGGGAAAGUGUUGCUCGAAGUCUGUUAGCGUGGACAAAGCCACGGAAUGCGAGGACAAAAUGUAAUAUAGAUGCAGCUACUCAAGGGAGGAGGGUAAAGUGUCAUAUGGGGCGGUUGUGGGAGAUGAUCAUGGUGCUUUUGUAGCAGAUAUUUCAGGUGUUUCUUUGGGUUAUAAGCUUCCUCCGGGUGCUGAAGCAUUUAGGCUAAGAAAGGUGCUGACUUGGCUUUAUCCACUAAUUGCAUUGAAAUUGAUUCCAAA